UACGGGGGGGGCAAGCGUUGUUCGGAAUUACUGGGCGUAAAGGGUUCGUAGGUGGCCCGCUAAGUCAGACGUGAAAUCCCUCAGCUCAACUGGGGAACUGCGUCUGAGACUGGUGGGCUUGAGUGCAGGAGAGGAACGCGGAAUUCCAGGUGUAGCGGUGAAAUGCGUAGAUAUCUGGAGGAACACCGGUGGCGAAGACGGCAUCCUGGACCGGUAUUGACGCUGAGGCGCGAAAGCUAGGGGAGCAAACGGG
rnacentral:rRNA from 1 species